UACCCUUUUAGGUGGAUUGAUAAGGAAGACAAUGACACGAUGAGUUAGCGACAUAAUGGAUUAAACCAUCUGAUAGAUCAUUUGUGACACUUGAAUAUUGCAAAAAUUAUAAUUCUCAUCAUUAUCAAUUAUGGAUUUAUGUAUUUGCAUUUUGUCUAAAUUACAGCACUUGCCGCUUAUACUCAGGCUUUUCACUAACUAUAACCAAUAUCCAUAAGAUCCAUAUGAAUGAUAAGCAACUAAUUUAAAACAUCAUUCUACAA
rnacentral:lncRNA from 1 species